CGUCACAGUAGCAGACAUCAAGUGACUCUUAAAUGUUCAUAAUCACAUUUCUGACGGAACUUGGAAUUGUCUACUUUUUGGCGAAGGUCUGUUCCCCCCCCCAAAACAAGCCCUUCUUACCGGUUAGCUGCCUAUCGACGCACACGCUCCUCUCUGGGAGGUCUCCCGUUGGCGCUCGGUGUCCGGUGUGCAGCGUCGCUGGACGGAACAGGGCGGAGGAGGAGCCCUUGGCAGUGGCCGGCAGCGGUGUGCCGUCUCCGGGGAAGCGGGUGCAGGUAGGCCGCUUGGAGGUGGUCGACCCCACCCAGUGCUACGAGGCCACGCCCACUCCUCCAGCGCCUCCCGCAGGUACUGCAUGUCCUCCGCGGCACUCAGCUCCGGCAUGCCGGUCAGCAGCAUGAGAGAGAAGAGCGUCACCAGCAGGCCCGAGUGUGAACGCAGCGCCAGGAAGUCAGGCGUGAGGACAAAUGGAACACGCUCCCUGCUGACUCCCAGGAAGUGCUUCCUGUUCCCCAAAAUGUGGCCAAAGUCAAUGUGGAACAAAUUGCCUGAAGACACAACGGACAUGAAAUUGACAUACAACAGACAGACAAUGGUUGUUGGAUGAUACAUAUGAAGAAGUGGUUUGUGCUUGAUGGUUCAUACCUUCAUGCGUGAUCAUAAUGUUGUCAUUGUGACGAUCGCCAAUGCCGAGCACGUAUGUGGCCACACAGUAUCCAGCACAAGACUUGACAAAGCGUUCCACAGUCUUGAAGUGCUGCAUCAAACGUGUAGUGUUAAUGCACACAAACAUCUACUACAUCCAACAUCCACCUUCUGUAACAUUUGUAGAGUAAUGGGGAUGCUGGAGUCCAUCCCAGCUAACUUGAGGCCAAGGGUGGGUCGGAUAUCAACACGACAUGAAUGGUCAUGAAUUACAAUUUCCUGGAGUGAACUCUUGGAUCUGAGCCACUCAAAGACAGCAUCAUCUCUGAAGAAUCCAUUGGUUCCUCCGUGGCUCCUCUGCACUGCUGCGAUGGUCGCCGCGUCUCGUACGAUCUCAAUCAUUCCUGAGUAACAGAAAGGUGUUUUAUCUUGGAACUGUUAGCCUUGAUGCUGGAAUGGAGCCAGUCUUAAAGGGCUUUUAGUAACAUAUUGUGUGUGUGUGUGGGUAGCUUUAAUGCUAAUGAUCUGUGUGUCUCAAGAGGCCCUAUUGCAUACUUCACAACCAGUAACUCUGCACUAACCUAAUACACAAAUAUUUGUAUUUCACUUUAUUUCAACAUUUUUAUGCAGGUAAUUGAUUAAUUUAGGGGAAAAAUGCAAAAUGAGCUUAAACGUUCAUAUUUUGACUACUAAUAAGCCACAUUCAACCAUAUUCAUGAAGCAGCUGUAAAGGUCAAAGGUCGAAGUGUCCAGGCACCAACUGAGUAACAUAAAGGGGUGGACACACGUGUUAGCAACAAUAGCAAGUGCUAACGUUACAUUUUAGCAUCAGGCUAGGUUAGCAUAUUGACUGAAGAAAAACUACAUGAUCAAAGCUACAGCUUUAUUUUAGCUUGUCCUCCAAGGGGCUAUUGGGCGUGAUUCACCACCUCUAUUUCUAUAGCUCAACCCAACUGAUCGAGACAGACAGCCCACACAGAGCCUGGGUUCUGUCCAAGGUUUCGUUUUCUUGCCUCCGUCGCCAAGAGCGUGCUCCUGUUGGUUUCAGUUGGUUCUGUCUUCAUUUGUGUAAAGUGCCACGAGAUAACUGCUGUUGUGACUUGACGCUAACUUGGACUUGUUUACUCUGCUUACCUAUGUUGUGUCCCGUGGAGAUGCAGCCAUACGGUAGGAGGUUGAGGUGCAGUGACUGCUCCUGCCAUAUUGACUCCAUCACCAUUAAAGUCUAAAGAAAAAGCAACACGACUUUUAUGGCCAUGUGAAGUCAUAAAG